rnacentral:rRNA from 1 species
AUUGAACGCUGGCGGCAUGCCUUACACAUGCAAGUCGAACGGUAGAGGGGGGCAACCCCUUCGAGAGUGGCGAACGGGUGAGUAAUGCAUCGGAACGUGCCCAGUCGUGGGGGAUAGCCCGGGGAAACCCGGAUUAAUACCGCAUACGACCUGAGGGUGAAAGCGGGGGACUCGCAAGGGCCUCGCGCGAUUGGAGCGGCCGAUGUCGGAUUAGGUAGUUGGUGGGGUAAAGGCCUACCAAGCCUGCGAUCCGUAGCUGGUCUGAGAGGACGACCAGCCACACUGGGACGGAGACACGGCCGAGACUCCUACGGGAGGCAGCAGUGGGGAAUUUUGGACAAUGGGGGCAACCCUGAUCCAGCCAUGCCGCGUGCGGGAAGAAGGCCUUCGGGUUGUAAACCGCUUUUGUCAGGGAAGAAAUGUCCUGGGCUAAUACCCUGGGGGGAUGACGGUACCUGAAGAAUAAGCACCGGCUAACUACGUGCCAGCAGCCGCCGUAA